UACGGAGGGGGCAAGCGUUGUUCGGAAUUACUGGGCGUAAAGGGCGCGCAGGCGGCUGCUCAAGUCAGGCGUGAAAGGCCUGGGCUCAACCCGGGAAUUGCGCUUGAGACUGGGCUGGCUUGAGUGCGGGAGAGGAUGGUGGAAUUCCCAGUGUAGAGGUGAAAUUCGUAGAUAUUGGGAAGAACACCGGUGGCGAAGGCGGCCAUCUGGACCGGCAUUGACGCUGAGGCGCGAAAGCUAGGGGAGCAAACGGG
rnacentral:rRNA from 1 species